GACGAACGCUGGCGGCGUGCUUAACACAUGCAAGUCGAACGAUGAAGUUCCUUCGGGAAUGGAUUAGUGGCGAACGGGUGAGGAACACGUGAGAAACCUGCCUUUCAUUUUGGGAUAACUCCGGGAAACCGGGGCUAAAACCGAAUACUCCGUCUCGGCGGCAUCGCUGAGCCGGGAAAAAAUUUUGAUGAAAGAUGGUCUCGCGGCCUAUCAGCUAGUUGGUGAGGUAAUGGCUCACCAAGGCAACGACGGGUAGCCGGCCUGAGAGGGCGACCGGCCACACUGGGACUGAGACACGGCCCAGACUCCUACGGGAGGCAGCAGUGGGGAAGAUUGGGCAAUGGGCGCAAGCCUGACCCAGCGACGCCGCGUGAGGGAUGAAGGCCUUCGGGUUGUAAACCUCUUUCAGUAGGGAAGAAGCGAAAGUGACGGUACCUAAAGGAGAAGCACCGGCUAACUAUGUGCCAGCAGCCGCAGUAA
rnacentral:rRNA from 1 species